CAUUAGUUUAUGUGGUAACCCGCAAGGGCCUAUCCACAUUCGGGUCUCGCCGUAAAACGCGAGGCUGUCUGAAAACCCUUGAAUAUAAAACUUUGUUGCUUUGGCGGGGCCGCCUCUCGAGGCGUCGGCUUACGCUGACCGUGCCCGCCAGAGGCCCAAAACUCUACUGUCUUUGACGUCUGAGUACUAUAUAAUAGUUAAAACUUUCAACAACGGAUCUCUUGGUUCUGGCAUCGAUGAAGAACGCAGCGAAAUGCGAUAAGUAAUGUGAAUUGCAGAAUUCAGUGAAUCAUCGAAUCUUUGAACGCACAUUGCGCCCCCUGGUAUUCCGGGGGGCAUGCCUGUUCGAGCGUCAUUAUGACCAAUCCCGCAAGGGGUCUUGGGGUCCGCGGCUCGCUGCGGCCCUUAAAAUCAGUGGCGGCGCCGCCGGUGCUCUCAGCGUAGUAAUACUCCUCGCUCGGGAACCACGGUGGAUGCUCGCCAGCAACCCAAUUUAUAAACUAGGUUG
rnacentral:rRNA from 1 species